rnacentral:lncRNA from 1 species
CACAAAUCUCUUCUUAAGGGCCAAGGCACCCAUCCUCAAGCUGCAGGGAAUCUUGGCUGCUGACAUAGCUGUGUUCCUCACUGGGAAUUCCCUCAACAUCAGGGACCCACCUUGCCCAAAGUUACACUCCCUACCAGCAUGUGGUCCAUGACCAAUAGCUGGCUGACAUAGGGAUACAAAUAUCCAACCUCUUGUCUCAAAUUGGGACAAUUCUAAAGAGCUUUCUCAACUCCAGAGUUCUCCAUGGAUCAGCUAAAGCCUCAGUGGUCACCACAUUGCAAGUCAGCAUCUUUGUCUGCCCAAUUUUACAGGCGUACCAUGGAGAUAUUGAAGGUUUGGUUCCAGGCCACUUGCAAUAAAACAUGUGUCACAAUAAAUCAGUCACAUGAAUUUUUUUGGUUUCCCAGACCAUUUGCUGUGGUCUAUUUUUUUUUUUUUUUUUUUUUUUUUUUAUUUUUUUUUUUUUUUUUUUUUUUUUUUUUUUUUUUUUUUUUUUUUUUUUUUAACCAGGCAGCCUGGCUACACUGUGGAAGGGUGGCUGGCUGUAUGCUCUCUGGUCAGGCCUUCUGGAAGUGCUCGGUGAGGACAUCGAGCAGCUCCUGCUUCUUCAGCCCGCCCUUCAGCCCAUACAUCCUGCAAGCUUCCUUCAGUGUGGGCACGGUGAGCUUACCCAGCGUGCCCUUGCUGACGUGGGCCUUCAGCUCCUCUUCGGACAACUCCACCUUGGGCCUUUUGCUUCCAGAACUUUCAUCAUAUGUCAGGUCCACAGUUUGCUCAGGCUCCAUCAAAUCCAGCUCCAAGGCUUCCAUGUUCCUGAAGUGCUGCUGCAAGACUGGGUUCUCGAAGCUGUCACUUCUGUACUUGAAGCGGAGCUUCUGA